AGCAUAAAAAAAAAGGAGAAAAGGGUGGCAGAGGAGGCCCCGCCGAAACCCUGCGUCGCCGUCAUCGCUCCUCGCCAGAGCUUGGUUCCAAACCCUCGAUGCUGGCGAUCGCCUCGAUCUCCCACCACCAUCUCCCCCUGGCACAUCACCAGAAGCUCCUUUUCCUCCCUCGUCAGAUAGCGAUCGUCAAUGCCGUAAGCGGAGGUGCGCACCACCGUGUGGGCACCUCCGCGCAGCGGAAAACAGCAGAAGGAGAUGCGAGGUCGAGAGCCUUCUUAGUCCAGGUGGCGGAGAGCUCCUAAAGGCGGAGGAUGGCCGAGGUAUGGGCGGCGAUGAGGUUGCAAAGGCAGGCAUAUUCAUAGUCGAUGAGGCCGACAAUCUGCAUGAGGGUCAAGGAGGGGCUCGGGAGGAAGGUGCCAGAAAAGGUCUCGCCGACGGCGAGGUGGAAAUUGCGGGAGAGAGGGAUGCGGUUGAGAUCCAAGAAGGCAGUGACGACUGUGAUUGGAGGAAAAGAAGCUCUUUUCUUGGAAGAUUGGGAGGCGAUUGAGAUGGAGAUGGGGGCGACGGUUUAAUUGGAUUUGAAGAGGGUAAAUGGGUUUUGGCGAUUUGAGCGUUUUGGGGCAGAAGAGAGAGGAUUUCUCUGGCCGCCGUCAGCAACGAAGGCGACAACACGGUGGCGAUGGUGGUGGUGGUGGAGGAAGCGGCCGCCAUGGUUCCACACCUUAGGAAACUAGUGAGGAUUUCUUUUUUUAUUAUUUUUAUUCAGCAGCAAUUUCAGCUGAGAUGGCGGUAUUUUAUUGAUUCACUGUACCGCUGAGGUGGUACACUGGGAUAUAAUUUCUCCAACAAGACCUUCGUCCCUCGGCAAUCUCCAUGAUGAAGCUUUGGAUCCGGUCACCGUUUGAGGGCAGCGUGUCAGCUCCUCCGAAAUCCGAGUGAACUCGGGUGACGUGGUGGUUUAUCCUAUUGACACGCUUCCAAGCUUAUGGAUGUCAUGCCUCGGACCACUUGCUUGUGGAAACCGACCCCUGGGUUGUAUUUUACUCAUUUUUUAAUCCUAUUUAGGUCAAGGUUUGGUUUAUAAGUAGCAAAGGUUGUUUAAAUACUACUUUAUGUAUCUAUAAAUAAAUAAAGGCCUUAUAAUAAACUACAACCUCAUAAAAUAUUGACUCAAGAAAUUUUAAUUUUGAGAUUUCAGUAAAUUAUCAGGCUACCUAACGUUUCUUUGGCCACAAAUGUGGACUGUAGACGACUUUUACUAGCAGUUUCCCGAUAAGUUUUCUUGUCAAUUCAAACUGCGCACAUGUUUUUGCCUAAAACCCCCUCGGAAUCGUGCAAUGGUGACAGAUUUGAGCCGUCGGAUGAGCAUAUAUGGUGUGAAAGUCUUGUGCAGAAAGUAGGUCAAGCUUGCCCAACCUCCGUUGCUGCUUGGUUUACCAAGAUUAUCAGAAAUGCCUUCAUCAUCUGCUUAUCCCACUUUGGAUUCUAACCAUAACAUUCCGAUUGCCCUCCAUACUAAAACGUGGCAAGUGGAGGAAAAAAAAAAAAAAUCAUCAUUGCAGCCAGGAGAGGUAGAGAAUCUGAAGGCAAUCUUUUAACAGAAGGAUCCAUCUAUUUCUUUUGACAGUUUAUUUCAUCUUUUCACCUAUUUUAUUAUUCUUGCUUUCCAUGCUUGUUUGCAAAUGUUGCUGCUUUUGGACUCUUGGCAACGGGGUUUGGAAACAAACCAGGGGCCGCCGG
rnacentral:lncRNA from 1 species